AUGAAGAUCUUCUUGGUCUUUGCCCUCCUGGUUGCCACAACGAUCAGCAUCACCGCCACUGCGCAGCUCGACCCUAGCGUCCAUGACUUAGAAAGGCCACACCAAUCAUUUCCACAACAGCAGCCACUUCCCCCGCUACAACCAUUCCCGCCGCAAGAGCCAUAACAACCAUUUCCGUUGCAGCAACCACAACACCUGCAACAACAACCACUUCCCCAACAACAUCUAUUUCCGCAGCAACCGCCACAACAACAAUUUCCACAGCAACAACAAACAUUCCCGCAACCUCAUCAACAACCACAAUUCCCGAAACAACAACCAUUUUACCAAUAUCAACAACCAUUUACACAACAACCAUAACCGAAAGAGCAACCAUUGGCACAACAACAACCUUGUGUAGAGGAAAGACAACGACUGAACUUGUGCAAGGAAUUCCUCUUGCAGCAGUGCAACCCGGAGGAGAAGGUGUCGUCACUCCAUUCGAUGAUCCCGUUCCUCUGACCAAAGACCUCGCAACAGAAUAGCUGCCAGUUGAAGCGACAAGAAUGCUGUCGCCAACUUGCACAUAUCCAUGAGCAGUCUUGAUGCCUGGCCAUCCAAAGCCCUGUGCAUGCCAUCAUCGUGCAACAACAACAACGACGACAACAACAACAGGUUGAUAGAGGUUUUGGCCAGCCUCAACCCACCACAAUUGGGCCAGGGAAUGCCCAUGCAACCUCAAUAGCCACUGGGCCAGGGCUUUAUCCUACCUCAGCAACUAGCCCAGUUUAAGUUGGUUAGGUCACUUGCGAUUCAGAUCCUGCCUAUGUUAUGCAACGUGCAUGUCCCGUCUGAUUGCUACACCAUUACUGCAUAUUUUGGUAGCAUGACUGCCUGCAGCUGUGGACAAUGAA
rnacentral:rRNA from 1 species